CUACUUUAUCCUUUCUACUCCUUAGUGUAUGAAUGAAGGUAUACAGAUUUUAUCCUUCCAUUUUAUUUGUAACACUAAUUCAAAUUAUGAUGAGUUUAUUUCAUGAUUUCACAAAUAGAUUUAGUUCUAAGGAUUUGUUAAAAUUAAAGAUUGUAUCUUUACUCUUUAUUUGGUGGAUUGGAUGAAGGUUUAUAAUCUGUAAGUUUGUUUAUGAAAUAAGAUUUCAAUAAGUUAUAUUUUUGAAUAUAUUCUCUAUAAAUUAGAAUGGAAAAGAUGGGGAUUGAUUGAUUCAAAUUAGGGAAGAUGAUAACCAUAUAUAUGAAGUUAUUACUUAUGGAACUAGUUUGGAUUGAAAUAUAGAGUGUUUAUUGGUUAUUAAGGAAAAAUCUGAUUUAUAAAGAGUAAUGGUUAUGAUAAGCUUAUAUAUCUAGCAUUGUUAUUUUUCGUAGGAGAGUUAAACUAUAAUGGGUUUGGAUAUCCUAGGAUGAGUUAAGUUAUUUUUGGAGGAAAUAAUUGGUUUAUGGAUAUCUUGAUAUUUGGUAUGGAGACUCACUACUAAUAAAUUUUAAUAUUGUUAUUGAGGUGAAAAUUAUGGAGCUUAGAUUGAAUUGAUAGUCGAGGAAAUUAAUUGAUAAGGAUCAAUUACGGUAUGGAGGCGAUGUUUAAAGAUCGGAUAAAGAGUUCAUUGUUAAUAAUCUACAGGUUCGUGUGUGGGAAGCUCGAAAUGGAGUAAAAGGAAGAAUUUAAGUAUCAAGGUUAUAAUUAGAUGUAUUGGUUACAGGUGUUGUAUUUAGGAUUAUAUAUCCUUAUUUGUAAAUAAAUUAUUAUAUUGCUUUAGAAGUCGAGCAAGGUAUUCUGUAAUAUAUUAUCUGGUUAUUGAGGAUGAUUGUUGUGGGCCCUGACCCACAGGUCCAGGAGCGUUUAUAGGUUAUGUUUCCGCUGCAAGUGAAUGUAAUUCGAGGUU